GACGAACGCUGGCGGCGUGCUUAACACAUGCAAGUCGAACGGAAAGGCCCUGCUUUUGUGGGGUGCUCGAGUGGCGAACGGGUGAGUAACACGUGAGUAACCUGCCCUUGACUUUGGGAUAACUUCAGGAAACUGGGGCUAAUACCGGAUAGGAGCGCCUGCUGCAUGGUGGGGGUUGGAAAGUUUCGGCGGUUGGGGAUGGACUCGCGGCUUAUCAGCUUGUUGGUGGGGUAGUGGCUUACCAAGGCUUUGACGGGUAGCCGGCCUGAGAGGGUGACCGGCCACAUUGGGACUGAGAUACGGCCCAGACUCCUACGGGAGGCAGCAGUGGGGAAUAUUGCACAAUGGGCGGAAGCCUGAUGCAGCAACGCCGCGUGCGGGAUGACGGCCUUCGGGUUGUAACCCGCUUUCGCCUGUGACGAAGCGUGAGUGACGGUAAUGGGUAAAGAAGCACCGGCUAACUACGUG
rnacentral:rRNA from 1 species